AUCAAGGUCUUGGUGCAUUGAGUUGCGCGGCGGGCGCCCGGCCCACCCCCCUCCAUCGUGCCCCGGCACCGCUCAGGGUGGGCGCCCGCGCUCUCGGCAGCCGGGGUUCGGUGCUGCCGGGGGACGGCCCGGCUUCGGGGCGGUGACAUCAGGGUGAGGGGGGCCGCUGGGGGGUGGGCUCGGGCAACUGGAGAGCGGUGCUUGGUCGGCAGGAUGAUGGCGUGGCCAACUGGAUGUUGGCUGGUGGGGGCGGCCAACUGGGACGCUGUGGUUGGCCAUCAGUUGAUGGGUUUGGCCAACAGAACAUUGGGCGAUGGAUUUGGCCAAGUGGGAUGCUGUGGUUGGCCAUCAAUUGAAGGGUUUGGCCAACUGGAACAUUGGGCAAUGGAUUUGGCCAACUGGAAGGCUGUGGUUGGCCAUCGGUUGAUGGAUUUGGCCAAUGGAACAUUGUCCAAUGGGUUUGACCAAUUGAAACGCCAUCGUUUGUCACUGGUUGAUGGGUUUGGCCAACUGGAACACUGUGGUUGGUCAUCGACUGAUGGAUUGGGCCAACUGGAACACCAUCAUUCGUCAUUGGUUGAAGGAUUUGGCCAACUGGGACGCUGUGGUUGGUCAUCGGUUGAUGGGUUUGGCCAACGGAACAUUGGGCGAUGGAUUUGGCCAACU
rnacentral:lncRNA from 1 species